rnacentral:piRNA from 1 species
UAGGAAACAAGGGAAGGGAUGUUCACA